rnacentral:rRNA from 1 species
GGAGGAAAAGAAACCAACAGGGAUUGCCCCAGUAACGGCGAGUGAAGCGGCAACAGGCUCAAAUUUGAAAUCUGGCCCCCAGGGCCCGAGUUGUAAUUUGCAGAGGAUGCUUUUGGCGCGGUGCCUUCCGAGUUCCCUGGAACGGGACGCCAUAGAGGGUGAGAGCCCCGUCUGGUCGGACGCCUAGCCUGUGUAAAGCUCCUUCGACGAGUCGAGUAGUUUGGGAAUGCUGCUCUAAAUGGGAGGUAUAUGUCUUCUAAAGCUAAAUACCGGCCAGAGACCGAUAGCGCACAAGUAGAGUGAUCGAAAGAUGAAAAGCACUUUGAAAAGAGGGUUAAAUAGUACGUGAAAUUGUUGAAAGGGAAGCGCUUGUGACCAGACUUGGGCCCGGUGGAUCAUCCAGCGUUCUCGCUGGUGCACUCCGCCGGGUUCAGGCCAGCAUCAGUUCGCCGCGGGGGAAAAAGGCUUCGGGAACGUGGCUCCUACGGGAGUGUUAUAGCCCGUUGCAUAAUA